GGCUGCAAUGAGUUAGAAAAAAUUUUUUAUCGAACAUCUCGACAGUUCGAGCAUCGACAUUAAACAAAUUCACCAAAUCUAGGUUGGUCAUGAAUCGAGUUGGAUCGAUCUAUUUGUUAAAUACUUAACCAACGAAAUCUUGCCAAUUGACCAAGUGAAAGCAUGAUGAAUAAAGUCAUUGGUGACUCAAUAUGUGCUCAUCAAUG
rnacentral:lncRNA from 1 species